AUUGAACGCUGGCGGCGUGCCUAACACAUGCAAGUCGAGCGGUAACAGGUGUAGGCAAUACAUGCUGACGAGCGGCGAACGGGUGAGUAAUGCUUCGGAAUCGUACCCAAUGGUGGGGAAGUAACCAGCCGAAAGGUUGGCUAAUACCGCAUACGUCCCACGGGAGAAAGCAGGGGAUACGCAAGACCUUGCGCCAAUGGAUCGAGCCGAAGUCGGAUUAGCUAGUUGGA
rnacentral:rRNA from 1 species